GUGCUUACUUCGGCAGCACAUAUGCUAAAAUUGGAAGGAUACAGAGAAAAUUAGCAUGGGCUGAACUGAACUGAACUGGGCAAGGAUGACAUACACAUUUGUGAAGUCCUCCGUAUUUUU
rnacentral:snRNA from 1 species